rnacentral:rRNA from 1 species
AACGCUGGCGGCAGGCUUAACACAUGCAAGUCGAGCGGGGAAAGGUAGCUUGCUACUGACCUAGCGGCGGACGGGUGAGUAAUGCUUAGGAAUCUGCCUAUUAGUGGGGGACAACAUCUCGAAAGGGAUGCUAAUACCGCAUACGUCCUACGGGAGAAAGCAGGGGACCUUCGGGCCUUGCGCUAAUAGAUGAGCCUAAGUCGGAUUAGCUAGUUGGUGGGGUAAAGGCCUACCAAGGCGACGAUCUGUAGCGGGUCUGAGAGGAUGAUCCGCCACACUGGGACUGAGACACGGCCCAGACUCCUACGGGAGGCAGCAGUGGGGAAUAUUGGACAAUGGGGGGAACCCUGAUCCAGCCAUGCCGCGUGUGUGAAGAAGGCCUUUUGGUUGUAAAGCACUUUAAGCGAGGAGGAGGCUACCGAGAUUAAUACUCUUGGAUAGUGGACGUUACUCGCAGAAUAAGCACCGGCUAACUCUGUGCCAGCAGCCGCGGUAAU